rnacentral:rRNA from 1 species
CGUACACUCCUACGGGAGGCAGCAGUGGGGAAUAUUGGACAAUGGGCGCAAGCCUGAUCCAGCCAUGCCGCGUGAGUGAUGAAGGCCCUAGGGUUGUAAAGCUCUUUCACCGGUGAAGAUAAUGACGGUAACCGGAGAAGAAGCCCCGGCUAACUUCGUGCCAGCAGCCGCGGUAAUACGAAGGGGGCUAGCGUUGUUCGGAUUUACUGGGCGUAAAGCGCACGUAGGCGGACUAUUAAGUCAGGGGUGAAAUCCCGGGGCUCAACCCCGGAACUGCCUUUGAUACUGGUAGUCUUGAGUUCGAGAGAGGUGAGUGGAAUUCCGAGUGCAGAGGUGAAAUUCGUAGAUAUUCGGAGGAACACCAGUGGCGAAGGCGGCUCACUGGCUCGAUACUGACGCUGAGGUGCGAAAGCGUGGGGAGCAAACAGGAUUAGAAACCCGGGUAGUCCCAUGAU